GCUUUGUCUUCAACAUAAUAUAUUUAUUAAAUAAAUGUAACUGUGUAAUCAUGGAAUCUAAGCACAGGAGGAUUUCCAAGCUUCACCUCACAUCAAAUGCAGGCAUCAUAUAGCCUCUAGGCCUUGGGUUAUGUCAGGGAUUUUUGCUUUUCACUUAGACUUGCAGUUGUCUUUCUUAGAAGAUAUGAAACAUGUUGGUCCCACCUCUAGCCAAGUAAAAACAGGUAUGUGAAUAAAAUGACUAUCAAAACAGGUUCUUUUCAAAGCGUUGGAAAUAUUGGAUUUCUCUUGGCUGUGAAUGUAGUGGGAGUCUUGAUGUCUUCGUCAUAUUGGGGAGCUUUUUAUUCAGCAUACUAAAAACAUGUAUCUAGCAAUUUCUAGAGGGUGCCAGGACUUUUCUUGGGGUUAGAGUAAUGAAGAUGAUUAUACAAUGGCCUCUAUCCAGUUGACGCAACUGAUUAGAUUAGCUAAAUGUUACAGGGCACGGUGGUAUAAAAAAAUUCCUGGAAGACGGAAGAUUUUAUUCACCACAUAAGCAGUCAUGGGGUAGGUGUUCCACAACUAGUUGGAUGUGUCAAGGCACAGCAUCCUACAAAAACAUAGUCUGUUUUGAAAAAUUCAGUCUGCCUGAAGGUGGGUGGCUGGAGAAAAACUUGAGAAGUUAGGAGGGACCACAUCACCCAAUACCUGGUUAACCAACUAGGAGAGAUUUAAUGACUACCUGUAUAGCCAGCAGGAACAUUUAAUGUGGGGUACAAGAUCACCUUUGUUCUUUAGGAAGUUUGUAGUCAUUCAUAAAUCCAAAGGAAAAAGCAAAAAUUCAGGCCAUGUUAUGCCUCACAUGUAAAAUAGCCUGCUAUCCAGCCCUGGGCAUUGCAUUAUUCCAGUAAGGGCUAAUGUUGUAUAUUCUUCUCAACUAUUUCAAUAAAAAAUGUGGAGGAUACAUUCCAGUUGAAAGAUCACUUAUUUGAAUUUUACCUUUUAGUGCCAAGAUUGCAGGGAAAAAUAUCAUUUGUGAGCCUCUCGGAAGGUUGGCUGAUCUGCAGAUAGGAUAAAAUAUCCUGCAUGUACUCUCCAUUUGAUUUGUAAUUUACAUAGCAUCUCUUUGUUCAUCAAGGAACACCCUGCAUGACUUCCUGACACUGACCUGGAUUUUACUUAUGGCUGCCCUAAAUUGUGUUAUCAUGGUGUACCGGUUGUUCAGUAUUCAGCCUUGCUCCUCUGUAACUUAAUAUUAUGAUUUAUUUCUGACUUGGCUUUUCUUUAUCGAAUGCUGACUUUUUCUAAGAGGUUCAUGUGGAAAUGUGCUACAUGAAAAAAAAAAAAGGAGCACAGUUUGGCCUCAGGGCAAAAACAUGAAUACUGACCCAGGGACAUGAAUACAGGGCAGAAGAGAGAGUGGCACAGGCAACAAAAUUAACUCAUUUCUUUGCCUUUUGUGUGUUCCUAAGUGUGUGGAGUGACUCAAAUUUUAGCACAGAAAGUAAAGUUAGAAAGCAACUGCUAUUUGCCAACAACCCAUUCUUUAAUUCUCAAAGAUCAAAAAUUUGCUUGAAAACUGACAUUUUCAUUUUCUCCUGGCCCAGUGAACAAAGUUUUAAGGUUAUGUGGUCGCUCUGAUACCACCUAAGAAGCAAAUAUUUCUUGCAGUCUACUUCUAGAUGUGAAUGAACUGAAAGUAAAUGACUCAGAGAUGGAGUAAAUGUCCCUUGAAAUACACCCAAACUUAAUAAUUAGGAGAAGAGUGCUUGAAUAAACACAUUUAGAGUGUUAUUGAGCAUAUACAAGCUUAGAUGGUCCAUAUUUCUAAAAGACAGUGAGUCUAUAGCACAUUCUUCGGAGAUGAGAAAAUUAUGCCAUAAAUAAAAUUUGUAGUGGAGGCAUUUGUUUUAUCAUUCAGUUAAGUAGCAGGAAUUCUUUCAUACCUAGAGGGACUUAGGUAAAACUAAUAAACAGACAUACUUAACAACAAGAACAACAACAACAAAAAUAAAGCAUUACCAUUCAAGAGUGUGAAAUCACUUCUCUGAGAGCCUUUUUGGAUUGAAUAUUCUUUUUGGGCUGGUAAUGUCAAACUAAAACUUUACCUAAACACAGAUAACUAGGUGGCUCUUAGCAUACCUUUCAGGGCUUAUGGUCUCCAAUUAUUCCACUCACAUCCCCCUAUACAUUUCCAAAUCACCUCUUUCAGUGUCUCCAGUGUUUAAACAUGAACUGGAUAGAGUGUUGCAUGGUAGUAUUAAAUAAAAUUUAGCUUAAAGCUGUUUCCUUACAUAUUAUAAGUUCUGUCUAAAGGUUUCUACGUGCAUAGUAUACAUGUCAUUGAAAGUGUAAAUGGACUAUAACCUACUCUGAUACCAAUCACUGAGUUGUGGCCAAUCAAAGGUGGCCAACUGCUCAAACCACAUUCAAAUAUGGCAAAUGCUGAGCUGUAACCAAUCCCGUUGUUUCUGUACCUCAUUUCUGUUUUCUCUCUGUCACUUUUCUUUUUCUUUCCAUAAAUCUUCUUCAACCACCUGGCAGUGCCAGAGUUUCUCUGAACCCAUUCUGGCUUGGGGGAUGCCUGAUUCAUGAAUCAUUCUUUGCUCAAUUAAACUCUGUUUAAUUUAAUUUGUCUAAGGUUUUUCUUUUAACAGUAGAGAUAGGAGUACAACACACUUUGAGGUGUACAGGAGUGAGUUCAAAUCCUAGCUCUGUUAUUGGCUUGAUUUCUCAUCUUGAGCAAGGUACUUAGUUUCUCUGAGCCUUAGUUUCUGCACUUGUAAAUGUGGAGAAGUGAAACACCAGACUUGAGAGGAUGCUCUGCUAUCUGAACGAGGUAAUGGGAAAAUGCUCGGCCAGUGUUGUAACUCAAUCUUCUUAUCCAACAGUGAGCCCCUUGGGCACCCAGACCCAGACUCGCCCUUCUAGUCUCACGUCUUGCACUCUCUGGCACAUCUCAUGUAGGCUCUGUUGCCUGUCAUGUUUUCCAGUCCACAAAUACCCUUGGCAUGCUCUCAUGUCUGUACUUGGUCCACAUUAUUCUAACGUGAAUACAUGAAACUUCUAAUGACAGUGCAAUCUUUCUAGACAAUCUCUGAAGGAGAAAUGUUACUAGUCUGUGGUGAAUAUAAAAAUAGGCUCAUAGGGAAAAAAAACUGUGAUUGAAGGUAUAAUUCUGCAUUUUCUUGGGAUAUACAUAAAUAGCAAGUAGUCAUUUUUUACUUAAAAAAAAAAAAAGAAAUCUACAGAAAGAAAAUUUAGCUGUCUUUCUGUUGCUAACCUUCCAGGAGGCCUUGGUUCUCCUUUAAGGUUGAAGUUCGUUUGUGACAGGUUAGUGCUGCUCAUUUUUGUGGCUUUCCAGAAGCCACCGUGGAAAAGGCAGAAGUCUUCCCCUCCCAUUAUGCUGAGUCAGACAUGGCAUCUACAUGACUCAUCACCAAGUGGUUCUCCAGAAUUCACUUUGCUUGCUUUUCCCCAAUCCAGAUAAUCCUCGGGACUGGUAGCCACCCAACUCACUCCUGCACACUGUUCUUCCUCUUUGGAGGCACCCACCAUGCCUGUCUGAUGCUGCCCCUCAAGGUCACAUCGGAGUCUCCUGUACCUACCUUGUCUGUGGCUACCCAACUCUAUACAAUUUCUGAAGCUUUCAUAACACCCAGAUGGUCUAUAAUGUAAUAUGUGUUUAGAUAAUCCUCAGGCCAAAACAUCUUUCCAAAAUUUAACUGUAAAUCUGUCACUUCCAUGGGUUAUGUUAGUCUUUUCCAUGUUCAAAUGGCUAUCUGAGCUCCUGGGGAGGGGAAGUCACUCCCGGAGUUCUCUUUCCAUCAUUCAUAGUGUGAAUCUCACCUUGGGCUGGGAGGAAUUUGUGAUGGGCAUACAAGUGAGAAAAAGGGUGCAAAGGGGUGAGAUGGUAUGUUAGUCAGGGUUCUCUAGAGGGACAGAAUUAAUAGGAUAGAUGUAUAUACAAAGGGGAAUGUAUUAAGGAGUAUUAACUCACGAGAUCACAAGGUAAGGUUGCAUAAUAGGCCAUCUGCAACCUGAGGAGCAAGGAAGCCAGUCCAAGUCCCAAAGCUGAAGGACCUUGAGUCCAAUGUUUGAGGGCAGGAAGCAUCCAGCAUAUGGGAGAAAGAUGUAGGCUUGGAGGCUAAGCCAGUCUAAUCUUUUUUUUUUUUUUUGAGAUGGAGUUGCCCUCUGUCACCCAGGCUGGAGUGCAGUGGCGUGAUCUCAGCUCACUGCAACCUCCGCCUCCGCCUCGCAGUACCUGAGAUUACAGGUGCAUGCCAACACGGCUAAUUCUUGUAUUUUUAGUAGAUACAGGGUUUCACCAUGUUGGCCAGUUGGUCUGGAACGAACUCCUGACCUCAAGUGAUCCGCCCACCUCAGCCUCCGAAAGUUCUGCGAUUACAGGUGUGAGCCACUGUGCCUGGCCAAGCCUAAUCUUUCCACGUUCUUCUGCUUGCUUUUAUUCUAGUUACACUGUCAGCUGGUUAGAUGGUGCCCUCCCAGAUUGAAGGUAGAUCUGCGUUUCCCAGUCCACUGACUCAAAUGUUAAUCUCCUUUGGCAACGCCUUCACAGACACACCCAGAAUCAAUACAUUGCACCCUUCAAUCCAAUCAAGUUGACAUCCAGUAGUAACCAUCACAGAUGGCUAAUACGGGAGAUAUUCAUGAAGGGUCUGGGAAGGGGAUUUGGAAGAGAUAUGGACACAAAGGAAGGAGGAAAGAAAAGGGGAAGUGAGACGGGAACCAAACCAAACACCCUGUAUUGCACAAUUGAGCCUGGAGUUGGCCUGCUCGCCACAGAGCAGUCACAGGUUUUCAGGAUGCUUUAGUGAUAGCAGCCAUCAGUACCUCUCAUUAGGAGCAAAAGCCCUGAUUGGUAAUAGUAUAUUCUACUUAUUUAGAGAAUAAAAGUUCCCUGUUAGAACCAGCCUUCUCAGAAUGGCAUUCAGCUUUUCAGAAAAGCACAGCACCAGCAUAUUUCUUAUCUGCCUUGAAGGUUAUAAUAAAUCCCUUCUUCUGUUAAUUCAUAAAUCCUUCAGCCACAUGCCAUUUUGGGGCCAUAUGCUUUCUUUCCUCCCUCUAACCCUUGGAAAGAUCUUUCAUAUCCAAUCUCUGUAGAUAAUCUGAAUGUGAAAUCAGGUAUGGUUAUCUAAUCCCUCUAAUCAGAAGGUCAGCAGUUACCUGCAGCUUUUCCAUCUGUCCUCCAGCUGAAUGCUGCCAUUUAGUAAAUCAAAAAUUGGUUACAAAUUAGCAAAGCUGACUGGCUCAAUGAAAUCUAGCCUGGAGUCUUUGCUGGAAGGGGGGAAGUUUAAAUAUGGUUUGAAGGGAGAUUUGAGGUGAACUCUAUUUAUCAAAGCCGUGGAGUAGCAGCAUAAAAGAUGAGAGAUGUUCUCCUGGGUAAAAAUGUCAAAUCACAUGGGAAAUGGGAAUAUUUCACAUGGUGAUUACUGAAUUUUACAAUUGUUCGCAAAUUGAUUCAGCCCAGAAAUCAACUGGGAAGUCUCCCACAGGUGUCUAGCACUCUGCAGGUAUUAGCGUGAUACAGGGUAAGUCUCAAAGUACAAAAAAAAACACACAUGUGAAACAAUUUGCAAACAAUGAAGUGCUAACCUGUGUGGUGUGAAUUACAGAUGCAUUAGGACACCAGAAAAGGAAGAAAAGACAGUGGCAGCUGAAGACAUUUCAGGAAUGCUUCACUGAGAACCUAAGUCUUGUUCUGGGCCAUAAAGAAAAGGGGAGGGUGUGGUUUCUAUACCAGAGAUAAGAAAGGAGAAAAUUGGACGUGGAGGAAAGAUAUGAGUACCAAUCCGAGCGAACAAGGAAGAGUGAGUAAAUCUGUCCAGCUGGAGUUGGAGGUACAUUCUGGAAAAUGGUGAGAGAGGCUGUGUAGGGUAGGGGGACACGGAAAGAUGGGCCAAGACAUUUGGAGCUGAUAUUUGAUAUGGUUUGGCUGUGCCCCCACCCAAAUCUCAUCUUAAAUUGUAAUCCCCAUAAUCCCCACGUGUCGAGGGAGGGACCCGGUGGGAAGUGAUUGGAUCAUGGGGGCAGUUUUCCCCAUGGAAUUCUCGUGAUAGUGAGUGAGUUCUCACGAGAUCUCAUGGUUUUACAAGCGUCUGGUAUUUCACCUGAUUGCACUUCUCUCUUCUGCCUCCUAGUGAAAAAGGUGCCUGCUUCUCCUUCUGCCAUGAUUAUAAGUUUCCUGAGGCUUCCCCAGCCAUGCGUAACUGAGUGAGGACCUAGAAUUUUAAUGUCUAAUAUGCGGUGUGAAUUAAAGAAGCGGCCUUGCUAUGCUGACCUUUUCAAUAUUCUAAUCUUUGCUUUGCUGACCUCUCAGGCCUCUUCCUGGCAACAGUUAGGCUUUUGAGAGGAGAGAGAGCUGAGACUGUUGGCUCCUUCCCAUUUAUGAGAGAGCCACAUGACAUCAGCCCAUAGACUGUGGAGAGUAUUCCAGAUCUAUCACAUUCUGCGAUUCUGCGAUUCCCAGAAGGCUGGUCAUGAAAAAAUUCCCUCUUCAGUUUACAUAUAUGGCAGUGGCACUUCUAGAUAUCUGUUGAGGCCUGGAAGGGGCAAAACAAUUCAGGAAGCAGUUGAAGAUAAAGGGGUUUACCAUGGAAGAGAAGAUCCAGGUGCCUUCAUGGAAAUGCUUGUGGUUGAAAAGAGAUGAAGAUGAGGGUCCCUGGAAAGAGGAAGAACCAGCCAGGAAAAUUAUACCAUUAGCAAGACUGGCAUCAGCAAGUAGUUCGCAGUGUUGGUUGUUCUUGGUUUCGCAGGAUUUUAUAGGAGAUGAGAAAACAAGGCAACAAGGUUAAGUGGCUUCCUGAAUUUUUCCUAUCGGGUCUGAGGCCUGCAGGAUGGGAGUCUGGCCCCCAGCAUGGCCUGCCUGGCAUGGCUCCCUCAGUUCUGCUCCCAGCUUCACAUGCUCCACUAAUUGGGGAUGGGUACCCCUGGUGUUCUUGAAAAUUAAUGAUAUUCAAAGCUACAAGAUGUAUCUGUUGUAGUCUAUGUUUGUUUACUUGUGGCAAUUAGUGACCAUCUGCUCUGGAGGUGAUGGUAUUAGGCCCUCUUUUGGAAAUAGUAACUUCUAGGAAGGAGACGCCCAGGCUAUUAGGGAAGGAGGGCUGACAAAUGAAUGGGGUCUCGGGUUCUCCAGAGGGUGGAGAGACUGCAUGUCAGACAUGUAAGGAAAAAAGCAAACUGAGUCAUUUAUUCUCUUCUCUUGUUGCCUCUCCUUUUUCUCUAUCUUCUGUCAUCAAAUCAUGGUUACUUGCCCAGAGUUUCUGUCAGGCCUUUGAGCCCAAGCUAAGCCAUCAUACCCCUGUGACCUACACGUUAUACAUCCAGAUGGCCUGAAGCAAUUGAAGAUCCACAAAAUAAGUGAAAAUAGCCUUAACGGAUGACAUUCCACCAUUGUGAUUUGUUUCCACCCCACCCUAACUGAUACAUAUAUUCUCCCCCACCCUUAAGAAGGUACUUCGGAAUGUUCUCUCCCGCUCUUAAGAAUGUGCUUUGUAUGCCUAUCCCAAACCUGUAAGAACUAAUGAUAAUCCCACCACCCUUUGCUGACUCUUUUUUUUGGACUCAGCCCAUCUGCACUCAGGUGAAAUAAACAGCCUUGUUACUCACACAAAGCCUGUUUGGUGGUCUCUUCACAUGGAUGUGCGUGACAUUUGGUGCCGUGACUAGGAUUGGGGGCCCUCCCUUGGGAGAUCAAUCCCCUGUCCUCCUGCUCUUUGCUCCAUGAGAAAGAUCCACCUACGACUUUGGGUCCUUAGACCAACCAGCCCAAGGAACAUCUCACCAAUUUUAAAUCGGGUAAGCAGCCUCUUUU
rnacentral:lncRNA from 1 species